rnacentral:snoRNA from 1 species
GCAUGGCUGAAUUCUGUUCCAGCUGGUCAGUAGUGGAUACAGUCAGACACCAUGCAACAGUAUUUUCUCAUUUCUGCUAAAUGACAGGGCGAGUGCUGCUCUAAGCCUCUUCCAGCUGAGCAGGUUUGAGUACAGUG